AUUACUGGGGUCUGCCACCACAGCAUUGUCAGUGCUGUGUCCAACGAGCGGAAACAAAAGAGUUUCUAAAAAAUGUAAUAAUAGAGACAUUGAAUGAAAUAUUUAGAGAGCAAUAAAUGUAUAUAUUAUUUAUUAUGUGUAUUGUGUUUCUUCUGUUACAGGUCGUGAAGGUUUUUCGGCUGGGUUUUUCUCCUUCACCUGAUUGGCAUCACAAUUGGCACAAUUCCCAGCA